GGAGGAAGACAGAAUGUGAUUUGGAACCACCUGAGGCAGAGAGCAGAGCCCACUCCUCCUGUGGGAGCUUAGGAAAUGGGGUCUUUCUUGAGAUGGGGAAUGGGACUUUCAUGAUUUCAUGUGCUGUGAUGUCACCUCACUGGCCAUUUAGGAUCCCAAAAGCUCAAAUCCAACUCUGGCAAGAGGCAGCACAGCCCUCCCACUGGUAUGUCUCCACAUAUCCCUCAGCAUCAGCUAUCACCACAAGCAGUGACAGCUUCCAAUGCAGAGCUUACAGCCUAGCCUGCCCAUCCUCUGGGCCAAGCAUACUGAAGGUCCACAAGAGCCUCACUCAGCCUCAUUCCUUGAAGUAAAGCAGGGUCACCAGCCGGCCAGCAGAAGGAAAGGCCUAGUGGCUCCUGUCUGUAUUCUCAGCAUUUUGGAAGGCCAAGGCCAGCAGAUUGCUUGAGCCCAGGAGAUUGAGACCAACCUGGGCAACAUGGCCAAACCCGAUCUCUACAAAAUAUAUAAAAAUUUGGCUGGGUGUGGGGAUGCAUACCUGUAGCCCUAGCUACUUGGGAGGCUGAGGUAGGAGGAUCGCUUGAGCAAGGGAGGUCUGAUCACAUCAGUGCACUACAGCCUGGACAACAGAGAGAGACCCUGUCUCAAAAAAAAAAGGGUGGGGGGGCAAACUUGGGCAAAAGGGGCAACUGUGAAUACACUGCAUGGAGGGGACUCCAGAGGGACAAGGCCUGCACCAUCACACAGGGGGCUCCUCCUUAGACAUCUCCAAGCCAACAGGGCAAACUCUGCCAGGGCAUACCCCCCCAUGCAGCACACAAGGGUUCCAGUCCACACAGUCUCAGGGGUCAGUGUGUUGGCUCCCAGGUGACAGAUGAGUGACCAUAUCUGCUCCUCAUAACUCUCCUAGACUUCCAGCCUGCCUCUGUGAGGCCUCCUGUUCACCCCCACGCUUGGCUCAGGCCCCGCUCCACUCAAUGAAUCCAAGUAGAAAAGGCCACAAAAACUAAGUGAGCCAAACAGUUGUCCAAAAGACCCCAUGGUACAGCUCACUCCAUCCUGGUGAUAAUACUCUGUCCUCUGUGCCAGUGUCACUGACUAGACUGGCUUUGUGCAGAGAUGCAAAAUGAGACUGGGAAUAACAGUCUUUUAUGUUAAUACUCCCCUCAAAAAUAUAGUAAUGAAUUUUGUUCUCCUGAGACUUGGCAGAGUGUAGAGAAAAAAAAGAUAUUUGUUUAGAAUGUAACUCUGAACAGUUGGCAAACCACCAGACGCUGAUAGAGCUGGCACAUCCUUCCACAUGGUGCCCAUCAGUCAAAUCACCUAUACCCUGAAAGGCCCCACAGCACUACUGCAAUCAGCCACGCUGCUUGGAAUGUGACUUGCUGCCCCAGCAGCAGCAGCAACCUGUAUGGGGUGCAGAUGCAGCUCCCGGAACAUGAAACACAAAACACAUGCUCCCCUGCUGAUACUAGAGGUGGCAGGGCUGGCAAGGGGUGGGGCUGCCGGAAGUCUCAACUCUUGAAUAAUAGGACAUGCUGUCUCUAGUCAAAGAACGUAGAAACUGCUGUUGACAGAGCCAUGAGCUGCAGGCCACAGAUAGAACAAGCAGCACUCAGUUAUCACUCAUCCACCUCUGGGACACCAGCUCCUCCCUGUGCCAGCCUGGGUCCCAGGAAGCACAGGCAGGCAACUGCACAGCCAUCAAGAAGGCCUUCCUGGACGGGCGCAGUGGCUUAUGCCUGUAAUCUCAGCACUGUGGGAUGCCGAGGCAGGUGGAUCACAAGGCCAGGAGUUUGAGACCGGCCUGACCAAUACGCCCCUGAAGCACACAGGAGGCCCACAGCCAGAUGCCCAAAGCCAGAAUGGAAAGGAUCGAUUGCAGAACCUUCCUAGUGAGUCAUGGCCUGUUUCUCCUGCCUGUUCCAGACUUUUCAAGAAGCCCAUGAAAAAGGGCAGGCACACAUGUGUCAAGAGGACCCUCAGCUGGCUCUGGGCACUGCACCCAGCAUCAUGGCUGAUGCCAGCCCAGGGCUCACACUGCAGGAGGAGGCCAAGAGCAGGAACAGGGA